UCGUGCCCUCCAUCCUCCUCCUAGGCCAGAGCCGAGCCGCCGGCCGCUGCUCAAAUUCGCAGGCCUCGGCCCCUCUCUCUUCCCCCUUGACAACCUCGCACCCUCUUGACACCACCACAAGCCCUUCCCUCGUCGCCGUUCAUCCCCAGGAGCGCCGUAUGCUCGAAGCCGAAGAUGGCCGAUGGCCUCUUCCGCGGUCGUCCAGGCCGUCGCCGCUACGGCUCUCCUCGGCAAGCGAGACGUACACCGAUGGAUGCGGCUCAUCCUCCUGAGAGCGCCGGUGGGCGGAGCGUCGCCGGAGACGCUCUGUAGCCCGGCUAUCAUCGUCGGGAGCCGCUCCUCCCCGCGGCCAGAGCGCGCGCGGGAGGUGGAAGACGACCUGCCGCUGGGGCCCGGGCGUCGGCGACCCAGCAGGCGGGCCCGUCCGUUUAAGUGGAUACGGCUCCAGCGGAUCCGCUUCCACCGCGCAGAAGGGUACUCCGCGAAGGCGCCUUCGACGUCGCCCUAUCGCCCGCGUGGCUGAGUUGCUGGGCCGGCCCAGUGGCGCCCUGCCGUUAAGCCUCGCCCCGUACAUGCUGUUGCUGCCCAAAUCCAGCCCGUUUGGUUGGCGAAGUAGACGAAAUGCUUGGAGUUGGACCAGAGAUAUUGGAAGACCUCGAAGACUUUGUUAAAACAGGCAAGCAGCCCUUUGACCAUGAUGAACCAUUUUACAUCAUAAUAGCAUUUUCGUUGCUUCACUGAGUGCAUGAUAUACCUUGAGUGGCAACCUUGCUAGGCUUGCCUACGUUGCAUACUCCAUUGAUACUUGCAUUGUUCAUGACUCUACCCUUGCUUAGAGUUGUGUUGGUGGGUUGUAGAAAUAUGCUAUAGUAGAUGGCUACGCAAAGUUGGUCAGGGUUAUGCAUGGAAAGAAACAAGUGUGGUUUGACAUACUUGCAAACAGCCCUAGUGGGUGCCACUGAUGCCCCUGGGAGAUGAUGAUGAACUAGGUCACUACUUGGUGGAGAAGUAGUGUACCGAGGCUUGAUAAAAGUGUUGUUUACAGAGACGGAUUAGAUUUAA